CUCAUGGCUUUAAGCUAAAAGGCGCUUCGGCGUCACUACAGGAUGGGCCCGCGGUGCAUUAGCUAGUUGGUGGGGUAACGGCCUACCAAGGCAACGAUGCAUAGCCGACCUGAGAGGGUGAUCGGCCACAUUGGGACUGAGACACGGCCCAAACUCCUACGGGAGGCAGCAGUAGGGAAUCUUCCACAAUGGACGAAAGUCUGAUGGAGCAACGCCGCGUGAGUGAUGAAGGUUUUCGGAUCGUAAAACUCUGUUGUAAGGGAAGAACAAGUGCGUUAGGUAAUGAACGCACCUUGACGGUACCUUAUUAGAAAGCCACGGCUAACUACGUGCCAGCAGCCGCGGUAAUACGUAGGUGGCAAGCGUUGUCCGGAUUUAUUGGGCGUAAAGCGCGCGCAGGUGGUUUCUUAAGUCUGAUGUGAAAGCCCACGGCUCAACCGUGGAGGGUCAUUGGAAACUGGGAGACUUGAGUGCAGAAGAGGAUAGUGGAAUUCCAAGUGUAGCGGUGAAAUGCGUAGAGAUUUGGAGGAACACCAGUGGCGAAGGCGACUGUCUGGUCUGUAACUGACACUGAGGCGCGAAAGCGUGGGGAGCAAACAGGAUUAGAUACCCUGGUAGUCCACGCCGUAAACGAUGAGUGCUAAGUGUUAGGGGGUUUCCGCCCCUUAGUGCUGCAGCUAACGCAUUAAGCACUCCGCCUGGGGAGUACGACCGCAAGGUUGAAACUCAAAGGAAUUGACGGGGGCCCGCACAAGCGGUGGAGCAUGUGGUUUAAUUCGAAGCAACGCGAAGAACCUUACCAGGUCUUGACAUCCCAAUGACCGUCUUAGAGAUAAGAUUUUCCCUUCGGGGACAUUGGUGACAGGUGGUGCAUGGUUGUCGUCAGCUCGUGUCGUGAGAUGUUGGGUUAAGUCCCGCAACGAGCGCAACCCUUAUUCUUAGUUGCCAUCAUUUAGUUGGGCACUCUAAGGAGACUGCCGGUGACAAACCGGAGGAAGGUGGGGGAUGACGUCAAAUCAUCAUGCCCCUUAUGACCUGGGCUACACACGUGCUACAAUGGACGGUACAAAGAGCUGCAAUGCCCGCGAGGGUUAGCCAAUCUCAUAAAACCGUUUCUCWGUUCGGAAUUGUAGUUUUGC
rnacentral:rRNA from 1 species